rnacentral:lncRNA from 1 species
CUGAGGCUAAGGAUAGGUGGGAGCUGCCCAUGUGCAGUCAUCUUUGCCCAGUGACACCUCAGAGCUGUCAGGGCUAAGAACCUACAUAGGCAUUUGUGAGGCAGGCUAAGCAGGAUGCUGCAGCUCAGGGCUGGCCUUCCCUUUCUAACUGAUGAUCUGCCGGGGUCGCCCAUAGCCUGUCAUGCCAGCCUGCGAGGCUCCUCUGUUGCUGCCCAUUUGAAGGCCAAUGACGUGCUUCCCCUCCUGCAGUUGGCUGUCUGUGAAGUCCCUCUUAUGCUCCUGGGCUUUCCUAGAAGAAAAGGAACCAGGAGGUCAACAGUCUGGAACAUGUCAGUCUUGAUGACUCCAUAAUCUUCAGCUGCCUUCAAGAAUUGAGCCACCUGUUCCAUCUGCUUAAAGACCAUGGAGGGUGGGUUCUCAGGCACCUUCACUGGCUUCGAUCCCUCAGGAUACAGGCUGUUCACCAAUUUGCUCAGAAUCUGCCAGUUCCCACCACCUUCUCCAAAGCAUUCCCUGAGCCCAACACCAACAUUGAGAGAAAAACAGAAUAACCAGAAGACCUCAUUGAAAUGACAACCCUAUAGGCAACUUACUUCCCUGAGGUGAAGGAAAGGGGACAUGGACACGGCUUUCUGAGUACCCUCUCAAGCUACCCUGGAGGACUCAAAAGCCUGGUUUCUGUUGGGAAGUUGUCA